GGGAGGGAGAAAAGGCUGGCGACCUUCAUGCUGUCGCCCAUGGCAACGGGCCAAACUAAAAGGAUUACAAAAAGGGGGGAGACGGAGCUAAAGCGACCCCUAAGGGGCGUACUAUUCCCAACCAACUUAGAUAUAAACUAAAGGUAUAAUUCUCACUCUCUCCUGCACAAACAAACAAAUAAUAAAUUUAAAUAAAUAAAAUGCCUAAUUCCCCACUCUGUCACACACAUUAUGUAUGAAUGGUGCAGAUUAUCCCAUUUGUCUUGAGCAUACAUUUGGGGAUUAGUAGAGGCCAGAGAAAUGUUCAGUAGAGUCUCACUUAUCCAACGUUCUGGAUUAUCCAACGCAGUUUGCCUCCCGCCCGGAUCCACAGCUGUUUCUCUAGGCAGCAAGAGCUGAACUUUUUAUGGAUUUAAUUUUCGACAAUGUUGUUACUGAGCAACUUGAGUCACUUCUGCAGUGAGAGAAUUGGCCGUCUGCAAGGACGUUGCCCAGGGGACGCCCGGAUGUUUUGAUAUUUUUACCAUCCUUGUGGGAGGCUUCUCUCAUGUCCCUGCAUGGAGCUGGAGCUGAUAGAGGGAGCUCAUCUGCACUCUCCCCGGGUGGGAUUCAAACCUGGCAGCUUUCAGGUCAGCAACCCAACCUUCAAGUCACUUAGACCACUACGCCAUCUGGUUUUACAUUAAUAAAUGACUAUCCCAACA